AGCACAGUUAGCUCAAAUUAUAACUUGAGAGUUGCCCACAUUAAAAUCUCUAGCUAGAGUUAGGUAGCCUGUCAGAGAAGAUAGGUUGAAGCGGAUAUUUGAGCUAGUAAUGCAGUGGGAAUGCAACAGUUCAAUGCAGUAACUCAAGCUAACUGUUGCAGUGAAUACAAGCCCUAAGUAGUUUCAGUGUU